AGCCUGGGCUACAGUGUGAGACUCCAUCUCAAAAAAAAAAAAAAAAGCAUGGCAUUGAGCAGGUGAAGGGUGUGCGUGUGUGUGAAGAGCAUUCUGUGUAGAGCUAAUGCAAAUGCCUUCAGGUUGGAUGGUUCGGCCAAGUUCAGAAGUAGAAAGAAGCCAGCGGGACUAGUGUGGGUCAUAAAGGCAGACAGGUGGGAGAAGAGCCAGGGAUUGUGCUGAGAAUAUAGAUAUGAAUUAGACACAGCCACUGUCUUUGAGGCUCAUAAUCAAGUGAGAGAUCACUGUGCACCUGGGUGAGGCACAGCAUGGUAGAUCUACCACGGGGCUGGGAAACUUCAGAGAACAAAGUGGCUGAUACUGCCUGGAGGAGUGAGGGAAGGCUGCCGAGAGGAGGUGGUAUUUGAUCUGGGUCUGAGCAAUUGCACAGGAGUUUAUUAAGCCAAAAGAAAGAGAGAAAAGCGUAUGUGAAGGCCAGGGUAGCAGAGCGAAUGGAGCAUAGGGGAUGGUACAGAAAAUAUCCAAAAAUGAGGAGAGACAGAGGAGGGUUGUAGGAGAUUGUAUUCAUUAGUUAAUUCAUCAACCCAACAAAUUGGAGAAUGCUAGGCACUGGGAACACAACAAUAAGAAGACAAAAUUUGCUGCCCACAUGUAACUCAUAUUCUAUUCAGGGGAGAGAGUCAAUAAACAUUUUUUAAAAAGCAUAAUAUGUGCAUUCUAAGUGGCAGUGAAGUUCUAUUAAGAUAAAGUUGGAAAUGGGGAGAGAAGUGCAGCCAUGUAUGAAGGGCUUGCAAUUUGAUAUCUGAAUGGUCAGGGAAGACGCACUGAGAAGUGGACCCUGGAGCAAAGGCCUGAAGGAGUAAGGGAGAGAGGCAUGCAGAUAUUUGGGAACAGCAAGUGCAAAGACCCCAAGGUGGGAACAUGCCCAGAGUGUCUAAGACAGCAAGAAGGUCAGUGUGGUUGGCGCAGGGUACGCAGAGUGAAUAGUUAGAAGUAAGGUCAGUUAGGUGAGAGGGCCUGAUCGUGGAGACCUUGUUGACCAGUGGAAAGACUGGGUUUCCUGUAGAGCGACUUGGGAAGGUGCAGAGAGCUUUGUUCAGAGGAGAGCAGCCAGAAGUGACUAAGGCGACAGUCUUCAGGACACAGAGAAGCUGCUCCUUGUGAUGAAAGCCACUCUUCAAUGAGCUUUGUGCAGGCUGGUGAUCCACGUGGUCCUACCCCCCCUCCACCUGCCCCACCGUGUGUCUCUGUGGCAAACAACUCACAAGUGCAACAGUGGCCUGGCAGACUGAAAACACACUGACCUACAGGCCACUGCUAUUGGUAAGGAAAGAAAAUGCAAGAAUGCUUGGAAAAAAAAAGACCCAAAUACCAAAAUUUGGACAAACUAAACAAGUAAAAGAAGAAGUGGCAGAAAGAAAACUUAGACUUCUUGAAAUAAUUAAUGAAAGGAUGUUUUGAAAUAGCAAGUUUGUCCAGUAUAGGUAUAAUGAAAUUUGAUUUACCAAAAUUCCAUUUUUUUCCAAGAAUUUGUGGUAUAACAUGAAGCUUACCUUUCACAGCCAAGGCAAGGUCAUCCCCCCCUUGGAGGACAUGGUGCUGCUGAUGACUCUUGAGACAUCUCAACCUACAGUGGCUUCAAAACUUAUGCCUUCAGCUCUGCCUCCUCCCCACUCCCAAGCUUCAAACUCAAAUAUUCAGCUGCCUGCCUGUCUAUAGAUCCUCUUGGAUGUAUAAUAGCAUCUCAGCUCCAGCAUAACCAAAAGAUAACUCUUGAUUUUCACCCAAAUCUUGUUUUUGGUUUUUUUCCCCUUAGUCUUUACCACUUCCUUAAAUGGCAACACCUAUUCAAUUGCUCAAGC
rnacentral:lncRNA from 10 species